rnacentral:lncRNA from 1 species
UACAUUCCAAAUGCUUCGGAUCGUCAAGUCUACGUUUGUUGGUAAGGAUGUCUUUGAGAAACUUUGCAUAAGAAGGUAUUUGGGUGAUGGCUUCUGUGAAAGGGAUUUCUACAUGAAGUUUUUUUAUAACUUUAAUAAAUUUUUGAUAUUGUUUAUUGAUCUGGGUUUGUUUGAGCCUUUGCGGAUAUGGUAUAGGUGGUUUAUAUGGCGGGGGUGGUACGUAAG